rnacentral:rRNA from 1 species
AUUGAACGCUGGCGGCAUGCUUUACACAUGCAAGUCGAACGGCAGCGCGGGCUUCGGCCUGGCGGCGAGUGGCGAACGGGUGAGUAAUACAUCGGAACGUGCCCAGCAGUGGGGGAUAGCUCGGCGAAAGCCGGAUUAAUACCGCAUACGACCUGAGGGUGAAAGCGGGGGAUCUUUGGACCUCGCGCUAUUGGAGCGGCCGAUGGCAGAUUAGCUAGUUGGUGGGGUAAAGGCCUACCAAGGCGACGAUCUGUAGCUGGUCUGAGAGGACGACCAGCCACACUGGAACUGAGACACGGCCCAGACUCCUACGGGAGGCAGCAGUGGGGAAUUUUGGGCAAAGGGCGAAAGCCUGAUCCAGCAAUGCCGCGUGUGUGAUGAAGGCCUUCGGGUUGUAAAGCACUUUUGGCGGGAACGAAAAGGACUGUGCCAAUACCACGGUUCGAUGACGGUACCCGCAGAAUAAGCACCGGCUAACUACGUG